rnacentral:rRNA from 1 species
CAGUAGCCGCGGGAAUACAGAGGGUGCGAGCGUUAAUCGGAUUUACUGGGCGUAAAGCGUGCGUAGGCGGCUAAUUGAGUCGGAUGUGAAAUCCCCGAGCUUAACUUGGGAAUUGCAUUCGAUACUGGUUAGCUAGAGUGUGGGAGAGGAUGGUAGAAUUCCAGGUGUAGCGGUGAAAUGCGUAGAGAUCUGGAGGAAUACCGAUGGCGAAGGCAGCCAUCUGGCCUAACACUGACGCUGAGGUACGAAAGCAUGGGGAGCAAACAGGAUUAGAUACCCCCGUAGUCCCUGUCUCUUAUAC